CUACGGGACGCAGCAGUGAGGAAUAUUGGUCAAUGGGCGCAAGCCUGAACCAGCCAUCCCGCGUGAAGGAUGACUGCCCUAUGGGUUGUAAACUUCUUUUAUGUACCAAGAAUGUGUCCUACGUGUAGGAUUUUGACGGUAGUACAUGAAUAAGCAUCGGCUAACUCCGUGCCAGCAGCCGCGGUAAUACGGAGGAUGCGAGCGUUAUCCGGAUUCAUUGGGUUUAAAGGGUGCGUAGGCGGCUUUAUAAGUCAGUGGUGAAAUCCUGCGGCUCAACCGUAGAACUGCCAUUGAUACUGUAGAGCUUGAAUACAGAUGAAGGAGGCGGAAUGAGUAGUGUAGCGGUGAAAUGCUUAGAUAUUACUCAGAACACCGAUUGCGAAGGCAGCUUACUAAACUGAUAUUGACGCUGAUGCACGAAAGCGUGGGGAGCGAACAGGAUUAGAUACCCCGGUAGUC
rnacentral:rRNA from 1 species